UCAAGAAAAAAGAAUGUCAGAGUUUAUGAUUUAGUAAUGAAGAAGUUCAUCAAAAAGCUUGAAGCUGGAGUUCGUGAAAUCUCUUCUAUCUCCAUUCAUCCUGGUGGUGAUAAUGUUAUUGUGUGAAGUAAAGAUGGAAAGUUAUGUUGGUUUGACAUGGAUCUUUCUUCAAAACCUUACAAAGUUCUCAGAUCUCACAAUAAAUACAUAACAAAUGUGGCUUUCCAUCGCAACUACCCUUUGUUUACAGCUUGUUCAGAUGAUUCCACAGCAUAUGUUUUCCAUGGCAUGGUCUAUUCAGAUCUGAAUCAGAAUCC